rnacentral:rRNA from 1 species
GAUGAACGCUAGCGGGAGGCUUAAUACAUGCAAGUCGAGCGGCAAGUUUUGAUAGCAAUAUUGGAACCUAGAGCGGCGCACGGGUGAGUAACGCGUACAUGACCUGCCCUAUACUGGGGGAUAGUCUUGGGAAACUGAGAAUAAUCCCGCAUGUGAUUAGAAUGCUGCAUGGCAAAUUAAUUAAAGCUGAGGCGGUAUAGGAUGGGUGUGCGUCUGAUUAGCUAGUUGGUAGUGUAACGGACUACCAAGGCGAUGAUGGGUAGCCGGCCUGAGAGGGUGAACGGCCACAUUGGGACUGAGACACGGCCCAGACUCCUACGGGGGGCAGCAGUGAGGGAUUUUCGGCAAUGGGCGAAAGCCUGACCGAGCGACGCCGCGUGAGCGAAGAAGGCCUUCGGUCGUAAGACUCUGUCUAGGGGACGGAGAGAGGACGGUACCCCUCGGAGGAAGCCACGGCGUAACUACGUGCCAGCAGCCGCGGUAAGUGACGU